UCUGAAACCUAAUGCUAAACUGGACACCAACUAAUGCAGAUAAAUCGAGAGCAACACCAGCCUAAACUUCAUCUGAUCUCGAAAAAAGGGAAUAUAAACCAGCUAGACCAUCUACCCAGGCCAUCAUCUUCUUAUUUUUCACGCCUUGGAUAGUAUAUCUUGAAAUGGUACUGUUCAUGCCAAAUUUAUUUAUUUAUUUUAACCUUAUGGAUGCAAAUAUUUGUUGAUAUAUUAGUGGUCAAAGUUAUAAUGUUUAAUUAAUACAUCUAGCGCUGAUACAUAUUCACCACAUAUGAAUUACUUAUUUGACCGUUUAGCUAAAUGCAUUGUUGUUUGCAUUUUGAGAAGGGUGAUGUUCUGAUUUGUGCUGAUAUUCAUCUUUCUUUCUUUCUAAAGAUAUUCGAGAAAGAAGAUAGUAGGACAAGGCUAAAGGGGAACUAUGGUUAAAAGCUUUCUUUCUUUUGUUGUGACCUGUCUUACCUGGUUCUGCUUGAUAUGUUACUAAGCCGGGAUCAUGUAGUAACUAUGUUUAAUUAAAAUUUAGGUCAGUGGGAGCCUCUCCCACUGUCUUUCACUGGUCAAAAAAAGCUUGGAUCGUGUAAUCUUCUAACCUUCACUAAUCUUUCAUGCAUAAGCAGAGUUGCGUCCACAGUGGAGGCGCAAAUCAAGAAGGUUGACUGAGGAGAUGAGGUUGGGUGCCGAGCACAUGGCAGGAUGAAGGUGCAGGCCUGUGUUUUUUUGGAUGGCAGCGGCAUACUACUUCAAUGAAUAAGAUAUCAUGCCUUUCUUUUUUUUGCUCUGCUUUGCUUUUUAAAAGAAAUAUAAAUAAGAUAUCAUAAACUGAUAUCAUGCCUUUGUUUUGGCCUAUAAACCUACCAUACAAUGUAAUAUAUAAUGCUAUGUAUGAUCAUCAUACACAAAUAUCUAUUUCCUUGUGUUUCAGAGAUUCUAUGAUCGGUCUCUAAAUAUUGUUACUUGCAUGGUUUGAGUGUUUGGUUCACUCUCGCCUUUUGCGCCAUUGGCAUAAUAGGUAUUCUCAUGAAACUUUGUUAUCCCUUGAUUAUAAAAGUCAAAUCGAGUUUAUAUCCAUAUUUGUUUCUCGAUUAUUCAUCCUUCAGUUGGAUUAAAGUUUUUCUAUUGUUUGCAAGUGAAACUUACUUGAUGUACCUUUGGUAUGCUGAUAUAUAGUAACUCGAUGUACCUUUGGUAUGCUGAUAUCUGAUAGCAAAGUAAUUCAGAAU
rnacentral:lncRNA from 1 species